rnacentral:tRNA from 1 species
GGCUGUGUAGCUCAGUUGGUAGAGCAUGCGACUGAAAAUCGCAGUGUCGCCGGUUCAAUUCCGGCCGCAGCUACCA